GACUACAUGAAUUGCACGAGUCACUGUUUAUUAUUUUGUACUUGGUGUUUCUUGUCCUAUAAAUAGAGGUUGUCCUCUCGGUGCAACAUCAGACUCAUCAGGAGACCAGUUGGUGGCACAGACGUACUCUUGCUUCACUUUGUGGUCACAAAGAAGUUUCAGCCAUGGCUCGCCUGGAAGACUCCAUUAAAAACAUUGUGGAUAUGUUUGUUGAGUAUGCUGAUGGUGAUGGCAAGUUGAACAAAGAAGAACUGAAGAAGAUGGUUGAGAAGGAAAUUCAAAACCCAGAGCUGAAAGCUAAACUCUCUGCAGGUGACUUUGAAAAGACAAUGGGAAAGAUGGACAGGAAUCGUGAUGGAGAGAUCAACUUCAGAGAGUUUUUGAAGUUCUUGCCUUUCAUGGCCAGAUGCUACUAUCAAAAGAAGACAGGCAAGGGUCAAGAAGAUGAUGAAUAAAUUACAUAUAUAUACUGUAUAUGUAGAUAUAUAUAUAUGUUUUUGUGUUAGCUCAUUUGUCAAAAGUUAACACGUAAAGUAAAAGUACAAACUAUCCACCACU